rnacentral:rRNA from 1 species
UAAGUUAUGUGUGUUUUAGUGGAACGCUCUGGGAAGUGCGAACGUAGAGGGUGAUAUUCCCGUACACGAAAGGGCACACAUAAUGAUGACGAGUAGGGCGAGGCACGUGAAACCUUGUCUGAAUAUGGGGGGACCAUCCUCCAAGGCUAAAUACUCCUGACUGACCGAUAGUGAACCAGUACCGUGAGGGAAAGGCGAAAAGAACCCCUGUGAGGGGAGUGAAAUAGAUCCUGAAACCGCAUGCAUACAAGCAGUGGGAGCACCUUCGUGGUGUGACUGCGUACCUUUUGUAUAAUGGGUCAGCGACUUAUAUUCAGUAGCGAGGUUAACCGUAUAGGGGAGCCGUAGAGAAAUCGAGUCUUAAUAGGGCGUUUAGUUGCUGGGUAUAGACCCGAAACCAGGCGAUCUAUCCAUGAGCAGGUUGAAGGUUGGGUAACACUAACUGGAGGACCGAACCCACUGUCGUUGAAAAGCC